rnacentral:rRNA from 1 species
GGGCCCGCACAAGCGGUGGAGCAUGUGGUUUAAUUCGACGCAACGCGAAGAACCUUACCCAGACUUGACAUGCAUUAGACGGGUGUGGAAACACACCUUCCCUUCGGGGCUGGUGCACAGGUGCUGCAUGGCUGUCGUCAGCUCGUGUCGUGAGAUGUUGGGUUAAGUCCCGCAACGAGCGCAACCCUUGUCCUUAGUUGCUAACGGGUGAUGCUGAGCACUCUAAGGAGACUGCCGGUGAUAAACCGGAGGAAGGUGGGGAUGACGUCAAGUCCUCAUGGCCCUUACGUCUGGGGCUACACACGUGCUACAAUGGCCGGCACAAAGGGUUCCGAUACCGCGAGGUGGAGGCAAUCCCAAAAAACCGGUCUCAGUUCGGAUUGCAGUCUGCAACUCGACUGCAUGAAGUCGGAAUCGCUAGUAAUCGCUGAUCAGCAGGCAGCGGUGAAUACGUUCCCGGGCCUU